UACGGAGGAUCCAAGCGUUAUCCGGAAUUACUGGGCGUAAAGAGUUGCGUAGGCGGUAUAGUAAGCAGAUAGUGAAAGCGUGUGGCUCAACCAUACUCACAUUAUCUGAACUGCUAAACUAGAGGACGAGAGAGGUCACUGGAAUUCCUAGUGUAGGAGUGAAAUCCGUAGAUAUUAGGAGGAACACCAAUGGCGUAGGCAGGUGACUGGCUCGUUCCUGACGCUCAGGCACGAAAGCGUGGGGAGCAAACGGG
rnacentral:rRNA from 1 species